rnacentral:tRNA from 2 species
AACGGGUUGGCAGAUAGAUGUGCUUGACUUAGGAUCAAGAGAGGGAGUUUUAGCUCCACCUGUUA